AUCUGAUCCAUUCUCAGAUCCUAACAUUUCCCGUGCUGAUUUUAGAGUUAAUGGUAGCAGUUCCUGCCUUUGUUAUCCUCUUCUAGUGUGGGUCUGUCUGUAUGUGUUAUGAUUUGUGGUAAAGCUCUUUGCCUUCUUCCCCCUUUCUAGCCUUUAACUUCCUUUAGGCAAAGGAAAGGUGGCUCAACUUCCAGUUCCCCUUCCAGACGCCGAGGGAGUCGAUCAAGGUCACGCUCCCGAUCCCCUGGUCGACCACCUAAAAGUGCCCGCCGAUCUGCUUCUGCUUCCCACCAGGCCGACAUUAAGGAAGCAAGGAGGGAAGUGGAAGUUAAAUUGACUCCGCUGAUUCUGAAGCCAUUUGGAAAUAGCAUCAGCAGAUAUAAUGGGGAGCCUGAGCAUAUUGAGAGAAAUGACGCACCUCAUAA
rnacentral:ncRNA from 2 species